AUUGGCAGUUAGGUGAGUAGCGUGGCUGGAGAAAAACGCGUGGCUGGAGAAAAAUAUUUAAAAAUGAAUAAGAAAAUUAAAGAUAAGGAUGCUCUAAUUAUGAACCUGCAGGCUCAAUUAUAGCAACAGCAGAAAAUAUUAGGUGACAACAAAACUAUGGAUGCUCAAACUUUCAGUCUACAAGCUCAGUUACUAGUUUACUCAGUUACAGGAAAAAAAACAAGUUACAACGGGACACUUUCCAAACAGUGAAGGAGGUUUUUCCAAACUCAUCCCUAACUGAACGUGAGGAUGAGUUGGCAUUAGGCGUACACAGUCAGUUAUUCAGUCCACCAUCAGACAGUGUGUUAAAUUUAAAUUCUGUUAGUGCUGCACUAAAAGAAUUGUUCGUAAUCAGUCCAUGCAACGAUGGAACUGAACAAUUGUGGGACCGUAUUUGGGCCAAAAAUGGGUGUGGUACGGAAACCCAGAAAUGGCACGAGUUCAACCUAAAACAUGGAUUAGAAUUUUAGCGGGGGAUCAAGUCAAGUCUGGAAGUGUUACAGGAUGGAAGAGUCAGCCUGUAGUUGAAAAAACACUGAGAGUACAUUGCCGUUAAGGUGUGAGGUGAAGUAAUAG